GACGAACGCUGGCGGCGUGCUUAACACAUGCAAGUCGAACGGAAAGGCCCUGCUUUUGUGGGGUGCUCGAGUGGCGAACGGGUGAGUAACACGUGAGUAACCUGCCCUUGACUUUGGGAUAACUUCAGGAAACUGGGGCUAAUACCGGAUAGGAGCUUCUGCUGCAUGGUGGGGGUUGGAAAGUUUCGGCGGUUGGGGAUGGACUCGCGGCUUAUCAGCUUGUUUGGGGGGUAGUGGCUUACCAAGGGUUUGACGGGUAGCCGGCCUGAGAGGGUGACCGGCCACAUUGGGACUGAGGUACGGCGCAGACUCCUACGGGAGGCAGCAGUGGGGAAUAUUGCACAAUGGGCGGAAGCCUGAUGCAGCAACGCCGCGUGCGGGAUGACGGCCUUCGGGUUGUAAACCGCUUUCGCCUGUGACGAAGCGUGAGUGACGGUAAUGGGUAAAGAAGCACCGGCUAACUACGUG
rnacentral:rRNA from 1 species